AACGCCCUCACAGGCGCUACCCAUAAACCCUUUGUGAAUACUACCUAACAUGUUGCCUCGGCAUUGGUUGGCCUCUUGUGAGGUCCCUUCUUUCGGGAAGGAGCAGACCGGCCGGUGGCCCUAUAAACUCUUGUUUUUGUAAUAUCAUCUGAGUAAAACAACUAAAUGAAUCAAAACUUUCAACAACGGAUCUCUUGGUUCUGGCAUCGAUGAAGAACGCAGCGAAAUGCGAUAAGUAAUGUGAAUUGCAGAAUUCAGUGAAUCAUCGAAUCUUUGAACGCACAUUGCGCCCGGUGGUAUUCCACCGGGCAUGCCUGUUCGAGCGUCAUUUCAACCCUCAAAGCCUUGGCUUUGGUGUUGGAGGAAUACCCUGUAAAAAGGGUACCCUCUGAAAUUUAGUGGCGGGCUCGCUAGAAUUUUGAGCGUAGUAAUUUUACCUCGUUUUUAAAGACUAGUGGGACUUCUUGCCGUAAAACCCCCCAACUUUCUGAAAAUUGACCUCGGAUCAGGUAGGAAUACCCGCUGAACUUAAGCAUAUCAAUAAGCGGAGGAAAAGAAACCAACAGGGAUUGCCCUAGUAACGGCGAGUGAAGCGGCAACAGCUCAAAUUUGAAAUCUGGCUUCGGCCCGAGUUGUAAUUUGCAGAGGAUGUUUAUGGUGCGGUACCUUCCGAGUUCCCUGGAACGGGACGCCACAGAGGGUGAGAGCCCCGUCUGGUUGGAUACCAAACCUGUGUUAAACUCCUUCAACGAGUCGAGUAGUUUGGGAAUGCUGCUCUAAAUGGGAGGUAAAUCUCUUCUAAAGCUAAAUACUGGCCAGAGACCGAUAGCGCACAAGUAGAGUGAUCGAAAGAUGAAAAGCACCUUGAAAAGGGGGUUAAACAGUACGUGAAAUUGUUGAAAGGGAAGCGUUUAUGACCAGACUUGUGUCGUGUGGCUCAUCCGAGGUUUUCCCCGGUGCACUCCACGCGGCUCAGGCCAACAUCGGUUCUCGUUGGGGGAUAAGAACAGUAGGAACGUAGCUCCUCUCGGGGAGUGUUAUAGCCUGUUGUACGAUACUCUGACGGGGACCGAGGACCGCGCU
rnacentral:rRNA from 1 species